UUGUCUCCAUGAGACAUGUGAUGGGUCUCCUCUUCAACCAUCUUGCUUUUUAAUAAACACUUCCAUUCACUUCCCUACUCUUAUAAGACCCCAUAAACUAUUGAACCUAUAAUAUAAUAAAAACCAUAUUCACUACUCCUAUUAUUACUCUAUCUAUACACACUUCCUUUUUUCUCUCUCCCAAAUUGAUUCAAAGUUGUGGGUAAGGGCCAAUUAUCUCUACUCUAUUCUACAUUUAGAUCUUGAAGAAAGCUAAGCCUAUAUUGGUUUCACAAAUGGCUCCACUCAUGUACCUUGGUUUCAAAAAGUUUCCUUGCUAAUGCUGAUAGAAGGAAGAAGAGUUAUUUAGAAGAAGGUGGAGAAGAAGGAAAGAAGAAUUAGCUUUUAUUUAUAUAUGCCUAUAAUUUUGCUUUUUUUUUUUAUUUCUCUCUACUCUUCAUUUUAUUAUAGAUUAAGAUUAUUAAGGAAAAUAAACAACUCGAUAUUGUUCAUGUAAUGUUGUAAAGCUGCAAGGCUUUUGGCUUUUGAGUUGGUCAGCAUUAAUUCAGAUUCCUUCCAUAAAUAAGUUGAGCUGUUGAAAAUAUACUGUAAUGAAAAUGAAUUAUUAUCCCUCUUGAUUUGCCUGAAUUUAUAUCAUUUCUUAGCUUUUCGUUUCUUGUUUUCAUUUGUAUGUUUAUACUUUAUAGUGUAG